AUUGAACGCUGGCGGCAUGCUUUACACAUGCACGUCGAACGGUAACAGGCCGCAAGGUGCUGACGAGUGGCGAACGGGUGAGUAAUGUAUCGGAACGUGCCCAGUCGUGGGGGAUAACGCAGCGAAAGCUGUGCUAAUACCGCAUACGAUCUAUGGAUGAAAGCGGGGGACCGUAAGGCCUCGCGCGAUUGGAGCGGCCGAUAUCAGAUUAGGUAGUUGGUGGGGUAAAGGCUCACCAAGCCGACGAUCUGUAGCUGGUCUGAGAGGACGACCAGCGACACGGGGACGGAGACACGGCCCAGACGCCGACGGGAGGCGGCAGUGGGGAAUUUUGGACAAUGGGCGCAAGCCUGAUCCAUCAAUGCCGCGUGCAGGACGAAGGCCUUCGGGUUGUAAACUGCUUUUGUACGGAGCGAAACGGCCCUCUCUAAUAAAGAGGGCUAAUGACGGUACCGUAAGAAUAAGCACCGGCUAACUACGUGCCAGCCGCCGCUGUAAGAC
rnacentral:rRNA from 1 species